CAAUAGCGUAUACUAAAGUUGUUGCAGUUAAAAGCUCGUAGUUGAAUUUCUGGUCGUGGCAGUCGGUCCGCCCCUCACGGGUGGUGCACCUGGCUUCUGCAGCCAUCCUCGCGGAGAGCGCGUCUGUCGUUUAUUCGUCGGGCGGCGGGAUCCGCGUCAUUUACUUGUGAGCAAAAUAAGAGUGUUCAAAGACAGGCUUAGGCCGUUGAAUACAUUAGCAUGGAAUAAUAAGAUAGGACCUUGGUCUAUUUUGUUGGUUUGUACUCCAAGGUAAUGAUUAAUAGGGAUAGUUGGGGGUAGUUCGUAUUCAAUUGUCAGAGGUGAAAUUCUUGGAUUUAUGGAAGACGAACUACUGCGAAAGCAUUUACCAAGGAUGUUUUCAUUAAUCAAGAACGAAAGUUAGGGGAUCGAAGACGAUCAGAUACCAU
rnacentral:rRNA from 1 species